GCUAUUGUAUGCGCGCGGCGCAGUCGCUAUAUUCCGGAUGUCUCCUUCGGGAGUCUAUGGCGCUAAACCGUAUAUGCAAUAGGCAUGCAGGACGGGGCUUCGAAGCCCCCGCCUCCACCAAGAACAGUCCUUCGGAUCGGACUGCUGUUGAUGGGGGCGACAUGGGAUCGACUGGUGUUGAAAGAUAUGCGCUGUGCUCGGCAUGAUACCACCGUUAUCGGGUCAAAAAUGUAGUUGCAAACGACAACUAUGCUGAAGCACGUCUCGCCGCUUAAUCGCAGUGCGACACUUCAAAUCAAGUCCUUGCGGGUAGCACUGUAAGGCGGGGUUCGAAGGCACCUGGCAACAGAAGCCUUCACU
rnacentral:tmRNA from 1 species